ensembl:lncRNA
GUGACAACAUGUGCAGACCGUUUAAAAUACAGAUCCUGCAGAUGACAGCUCAGUGACAGUGUUUUUAAUAUCAGUAAACAGCAUCUAUUCCAGCACAUAAACAAACAGAACCGACAACCUCUGCGAUAAAGUGCAGGAAUGGAGAGUCACUAUUAAGGGAUGUGUUUGAACAGAAGCAGAGCUCUGGGACGUGUGGACAGACUUUCACUGUAAUGAUGGACAUCCGCUCGUGGACAGACAUCCCCAGGAUGGGGGCCCAUCAAAGGUGACCCAACCCAAUGAUGGAGCCACAUUGUCAUGAAAAGGGCUGGUGUGGAUCUCCUGUCCUGGCUCCAUCAGCUCUACAGUAGCAGGCUCUGGGCUAUCAGACCAGGGUGAGAAAGAUGAUCCUUCUGCAGGUCAAGGGUCAUAUCUAAACACCUACACACUGAGUGUUUCCUUGUAGAGGUUAAGAGACUGUUUCACUUUUCAUGGUAAAUGUUCCCAACCUAGAUCUUGGUCUGGUCACUCAUGUCCCGAUGUAUCACAAUUUAAAUGUCACUUUUUGCAAACGCCAUCUUUUGUUUUUCACAUAAUGCCAUUUAGACGUAUAUGUUCUCAAAGACAGUGAUGUUAAUGUUUUUUAGUCUCUACGCAAAGCUAUGGAGGAACUCAUAAGUGUCAUAAAAAAAGAUUAUUUAAUAAAAAAAUUUAAUUAAAAAAUAAAAAUAGAAAUAAGAUAGAAACUUAUGCUUAUUUAAUUCCUCUUGAAAAAUUAAGAUAAAUGUAACAUUUUUAAGUUGACAAAUUAUAAACAGCUUUUUUAAUGUUUAUAUAUAUAUAUGUGUGUGUGUGUGUGUGUACAAAUAUAUGCUUGAUUGAUUUUUAAAUGACAAAUUCACUUAAUGGCACUUAAUAAGGCACAUAUCAUUAUUGAUACUUUUCAUAUUAGGCAUUUCAGGACCGGGCAGAAGAUUAACCUAUAGACUUACAUUGGAAGAGGCAUACAGGGACUAGAAUGUCAUGUCACUUGAUGGUGGGCUGUUUUCACUUAGACCUGUUAGAAACCACAUAGCAACAACAACCUAGCAAUGACUUUUGAAGGCCAAC